GUGGAGCCCCAGGCAGAGCCCCUGCCAGCGGUCCAGUGGGUCCCGCCCACGUCACGUGGCUCCUUCUACUUGAUGGUCGUCCCUCCGACCCCUGGCACUGUGAUGCCCCUGGGUGUUUGCUUCCCCGAUGUAACACGUGGAUGAGGAAGAAAGGCACAGUCAGAGGGACGGAGGUUCCUGCGUUACCGGUGACAUGCCACAGCUUAAUUCUGGGGGUGGGGGGGGUGGAUGGGCAGAAUUCCCCACUAGAGCGCACUUUCCUCUCGCCUCCCCAUCUCCCCUUAGGCUCACCCCGACAUGCUAGUUCAUACAAAUCAGCGGUCAUCUAGCUGCCUGUAUUAGGGGACAGGGCUUUGUGGGAGGGGCCACAGGGACUGACGGGGAGACACAGAGACUGGAGAGGGUGGGGGAGGCUCAAGGGCCCUCUCCUUGGGUGGACACUGUCUUCCCCCAGGGCUGGAGA